AGAGAGAGAGAGAUAGAGAGAGAGAGAGAGAGAGAGAGAGAGAGAGAGAGAGAGAGAGAGAGAGAGAGAGAGAGAGGGAGAGAGAGAGAGAGAGAGAGAGAGAGACAACUGCACAGCGUUCACACAACAGCCAGAGACGGUGGACUAUAGUGGAGUGCUGCCGGUGGCUCUCUGCGCUCUUUAUCGGGCUUUUCUUCCGUACGUUGGACCUGUUCGGACUGAUAGGAAGGCCAUAAAGAGAAGAAACAACUACUGGAGCUGAGCCAGGAGUGCUCUAACCGUGCAGGACUGGGCACAAUUGAGAUCACCUGCCUGGGGGCGAUAAGACUGUUUCACACACUUUAAGGACAAAAACAAAAGUAUAUGGAAUAAUGUGAAUCACAGCUAUUGUGUUUUAAUGUAAAGAAGGAACAGGAAAAGGGAGUUCCGCGUGAAGACUUCACUUUUUUUCUGCACCUGAACGUUCAGCAGAAGAUGCGCCUUUUUCCCCAAACUUUUACGCGUGUCCCGAAAGACCACUCAAACUGAUGUGAUGUGUUUUGGGAACUGAGUAACAGCUGUUUGGAUAGACGAGCUCUGCAGCUGAGAGAAAGAGAAAAAACAAAGUUCCUUAAAAGUUUCCCCUUUAGAAGAAGAAUUGAAGGAUUGAACCCCAGCAGAGAGUUGGAUAUGGAUGGUGUUGCGUCUGGAAUCCGUGUCUCGGAGCCUGCAGCUGGGAUGCACUGCGCAUCUGAGCCGCGACGCUUCACACCAUGAUGCGAGACCAAAACUGCACCUGACAACGAAUAACGCGAAUCCAAUCCACAAGGAUCUACCAUGUCCUCACUACUGACGAGGAAGCUGACUCUGUGCCAGGCCCUGACCUUUGUCCUGCUGCUGGUCGCUCCCGUCUGCCUGUCGUCCCCACAGAGUCCCUGGGUUUCUGCGUGGCAUCCCUCCGGCGAGGCCUCAUCAGGGCGUCCGGCGCGCGCCCGGCGGCAGCUGCACUUCAGGAACGAGUGGGCGACGUGGAGUGGCUGGUCUGUCUGCUCUCGUAGCUGUGGGAGCGGAGCCUCGGUGAGGAAGCGCACCUGCAUCACCAGGUAAAUAAUACCCGCCGUGUCCCGCAGGGUCACUCACAGCAGUAUACUUGG
rnacentral:lncRNA from 1 species